rnacentral:misc_RNA from 1 species
AAGUCGUAACAAGGUUUCCGUUAGUGAACCAGCGGAGGGAUCAUUACAGAGUUGCAAAACUCCCCAAACCAUCGUGAACCUUUACCGCUAAACAGUUGCUUCGGCGGGUGGCCCGCGGGAGGAAUCCAAAAAACCAUCGCUUUCAGUACCGGGCUCUCUGAGUUACUGUACUUUUAAUUAAGUCAAAACUUUCAACAACGGAUCUCUUGGUUCUU